GGGGUAAGGCUCACCAAGCCGACGAUCUGUAGCUGGUCUGAGAGGACGACCAGCCACACUGGGACUGAGACACGGCCCAGACUCCUACGGGAGGCAGCAGUGGGGAAUUUUGGACAAUGGGCGCAAGCCUGAUCCAGCAAUGCCGCGUGCAGGAAGAAGGCCUUCGGGUUGUAAACUGCUUUUGUACGGAGCGAAAGGCUUUCUCUAAUACAGGAAGCUGAUGACGGUACCGUAAGAAUAGCACCGGCUAACUACGUGCCAGCAGCCGCGGUAUACGUAGGUGCAGCGUUAAUCGGAAUUACUGGGCGUAAGCGUGCGCAGGCGGUUUGUAGACAGGCGUGAAUCCCGGGCUCACUGGAAUGCGCUUGUGACUGCAAAGCUGGAGUGCGGCAGAGGGAUGGAUUCCGCGUGUAGCAGUG
rnacentral:rRNA from 1 species